rnacentral:rRNA from 1 species
UUUAAUGCCCGCGCGAGAGCGUUAUUACGUAGGUGGCUAGCGUUUUCCGGAAUUUAUUGGGCGUAAAGCGAGCGCAGGCGGUCUUUUAAGUCUAAUGUGAAAGCAUUUCGGCUCAACUGAAGAAGUGCACUGGAAACUGGGAGACUUGAGUGCAGAAGAGGACAGUGGAACUCCAUGUGUAGCGGUGAAGUGCGUAGAUAUAUGGAAGAACACCAGUGGCGAAGGCGGCUGUCUGGUCUGUAACUGACGCUGAGGCUCGAAAGCAUGGGUAGCGAACAGGAUUAGAUACCCUGGUAGUCCAUGCCGUAAACGAUGAUUACUAAGUGUUGGAGGGUUUCCGCCCUUCAGUGCUGCAGCUAACGCAUUAAGUAAUCCGCCUGGGGAGUACGACCGCAAGGUUGAAACUCAAAAGAAUUGACGGGGGCCCGCACAAGCGGUGGAGCAUGUGGUUUAAUUCGAAGCUACGCGAAGAACCUUACCAGGUCUUGACAUCUUCUGCCAACCUAAGAGAUUAGGCGUUCCCUUCGGGGACAGAAUGACAGGUGGUGCAUGGUUGUCGUCAGCUCGUGUCGUGAGAUGUUGGGUUAAGUCCCGCAACGAGCGCAACCCUUAUUACUAGUUGCCAGCAUUCAGUUGGGCACUCUAGUGAGACUGCCGGUGACAAACCGGAGGAAGGUGGGGACGACGUCAAAUCAUCAUGCCCCUUAUGACCUGGGCUACACACGUGCUACAAUGGAUGGUACAACGAGUCGCGAAACCGCGAGGUUUAGCUAAUCUCUUAAAACCAUUCUCAGUUCGGACUGUAGGCUGCAACUCGCCUACACGAAGUCGGAAUCGCUAGUAUCGCGUCAUUCUAA